UACGGGGGGGGCAAGCGUUGUUCGGAUUUACUGGGCGUAAAGCGUGCGCAGGCGGUUUUGUAAGCCAGAUGUGAAAUCCCCGGGCUUAACCUGGGAAUGGCAUUUGGGACUGCAAGGCUUGAGUGCGGCAGAGGAGACUGGAAUUCCUGGUGUAGCAGUGAAAUGCGUAGAUAUCAGGAGGAAUACCGAUGGCGAAGGCAGGUCUCUGGGCUGACACUGACGCUCAUGCACGAAAGCGUGGGGAGCAAACAGG
rnacentral:rRNA from 1 species